CGUGUAUUGCUAUCACGUUGGCGUCGUCGUCUGCGUCGUCGUCGUCCGAAUACUUUUAGUUUUCGCACUCUAACUUUAGUAAAAGUGAAUAGAAAUCUAUGAAAUUUUAACACAAGGUUUAUGACCACAAAAGGAAGGUUGGGAUUGAUUUUGGGAGUUUUGGUCCCAACAUUUUAGGAAUUAGGGGCCAAAAAGGGCCCAAAUAAUGCAUUUUCUUGGUUUUCGCACUAUAACUUUAGUUUAAGUGAAUAGAAAUCUAUGAAAUUUUGACACA
rnacentral:lncRNA from 1 species